rnacentral:rRNA from 1 species
CAGCCGCCACGGGAAUACGUAGGGUGCAAGCGUUAAUCGGAAUUACUGGGCGUAAAGCGUGCGCAGGCGGUUUGUUAAGACAGAUGUGAAAUCCCCGGGCUCAACCUGGGAACUGCAUUUGUGACUGGCAGGCUAGAGUAUGGCAGAGGGGGGUGGAAUUCCGCGUGUAGCAGUGAAAUGCGUAGAUAUGCGGAGGAACACCGAUGGCGAAGGCAGCCCCCUGGGCCAAUACUGACGCUCAUGCACGAAAGCGUGGGGAGCAAACAGGAUUAGAUACCCGUGUAGUCCCUGUCUCUUAUAC